rnacentral:rRNA from 1 species
UGUCAGCAGCCGCGGUAAUACGUAGGGUGCAAGCGUUAAUCGGAAUUACUGGGCGUAAAGCGUGCGCAGGCGGUUUUGUAAGACUGUCGUGAAAUCCCCGGGCUCAACCUGGGAAUGGCGAUGGUGACUGCAAGGCUAGAGUUUGGCAGAGGGGGGUAGAAUUCCACGUGUAGCAGUGAAAUGCGUAGAUAUGUGGAGGAACACCGAUGGCGAGGGCAGCCCCCUGGGUCAAAACUGACGCUCAUGCACGAAAGCGUGGGGAGCAAACAGGAUUAGAUACCCUGGUAGUCCACGCCCUAAACGAUGUCUACUAGUUGUCGGGUUUUAAUUAACUUGGUAACGCAGCUAACGCGUGAAGUAGACCGCCUGGGGAGUACGGUCGCAAGAUUAAAACGCAAAUAAAUUUGGCGG